AUGCCGUCCGAGCUUACCAAUAUUAUUUUGCUUGUUUACCAGAUUGAGAUUAAAACAGCACCUGCUGACUUCCGCUUUCCUACAACCAACCAAACUAGACACUGUUUUACUCGCUAUGUUGAGUUCCACAGGUGUGUGAGUGCCAAGGGGGAUGAAGCUGCUGAAUGUGAGAAAUUUGCCAAGUACUACCGAUCUCUUUGCCCAGCUGAAUGGGUUGAGAAGUGGAACGAGCAGAGGGAGAACGGGACAUUUGCAGGGCCCCUCUAA
rnacentral:rRNA from 1 species